UACGUAGGCAGCAAGCGUUGUUCGGAAUUACUGGGCGUAAAGAGUGUGUAGGCGGUGCUCUAAGUUCGAUGUGAAAUCUCCCGGCUCAACUGGGAGGGUGCGCCGGAAACUGGAAUGCUUGAGCGUGGGAGAGGAAAGCGGAAUUCCUGGUGUAGCGGUGAAAUGCGUAGAUAUCAGGAGGAACACCUGCGGUGUAGACGGCUUUCUGGACCAUUGCUGACGCUGAGACACGAAAGCGUGGGUAGCAAACAGG
rnacentral:rRNA from 1 species